UACGUAGGGUCCGAGCGUUGUCCGGAGUGACUGGGCGUAAAGCGCGCGCAGGCGGCCCGCGAGGUGUCCUGUGAAAAGCCCCCGUGCUCAACGCGGGAGGGUCAGGGCAAACCGGCGGCUUGAGGCCGGUAGAGGUGGGUGGAACUCCUGGUGGAGUGGUGAAAUGCGUAGAGAUCAGGAAGAACACCCGUGGCGAAGGCGGCCCA
rnacentral:rRNA from 1 species